UCCAUCGGAGAAAUCGACGCCAUCCCCUCUGCCCCAUCGAUCACCAGUUCGCCGGCGGCUGCCUUUCUCUUCCCCGACCUGCGUUCUUCCCCACCCACCGCCUGUGAUUGUAGGGUUGCCCCGUGGUGGUUGCCGCUGGUUAUAGUCGUCGUCCAGCUAUCUCUAUCGGUCAGGCUGCCGGCGCGCUGGCCGCACCCAUCAAGGCUCCCGAUUGUUGCCCUGGUCGAGCGGCUGCCAUCUGCCAGCCUGUCUGCUCUGGACAGCUGCCUCCAUCCUCGGUUUUCUUCACCAAAACAUGAAUCUAUUUCCCUAUGCUUCCUUGCGAUAGUUAGGCUGAGUGAAUACUACCAAGGGAAUAUUCCUAGCGAUGGCGUUGUUCUGCUGGCUGAUGACGCCCUCUCCCAUGUUUGUGAUUUCCCUACAAGUUUUCAUUUGCCAUCAAGGCGCUCUAUACGUCGAAGACUACUUACUCAGUCUGCUGGAUUUCCCCACCCGGAUCCUGUAACAGCUGCUCAAUCACGUCGAAAGCGUAAGCUUGCUAUGGCUGCCAAAUCAUCUAGAGGUUUGAUUAUAUUCUUUAUCCACUCACAUGUUUAUCUACAUGUGCACUUUCAUGCCUUAUACAAAACAUGUUCAUCGUCGACCUCUUCAGCCCUAUUGUCUCCAUCUCCCACACAUCAACACCAUUUGCUCAUCAAUUCUCGCGGUUUUGCUGAUGUAAACCUGAUGCUCGACAUGUCAAAUCAGAUCACUCAUACAGUAUGA
rnacentral:lncRNA from 1 species